ensembl:lncRNA
ACAUGAUUGAGGGAUUUGGCCAAUCACAACGCACUGAAUAGCUGGCCAAUCAGAGUACAGAGAGAUGAGCUUUGUGAAAAUUGACGCGUUUAAGAAGGAGAAAUAAUAAUGUACAGUAUGUGGCAAAUAAUGUUUUUUUUAACCUUAAACCACAUAAACACAUUUCAUUACACCAAAUAUCAUCACGCAUCAUAUGUCCCCUUUAAGUUAGAAUGUGUUUUCUUGAUAUAAUGUCUGCUAGAAUGUAAAAACAUCAGUUAAGUAAAUAUUUUUAUAGCACAUUUUGGCUAUUUAAUUUAUGCAAUGCUGAGAAAUACUUUCAAAAUGGGGACAAAAAUGCGAUAAACCAUAUUUGGCCUUCAGUCCAGAGUUUCAUUUUGUUCAGCUUCGGACAAGAUUUUUCAUUUUGGUGCAUCCCGACUUGAAAUUUACUUUGGACUCUCGUAUAAUUUAAAUGGUCACAGCUCUGAGCUAUUGUUUACUGUACAAAGAUAAACAUUGUUUUUAUAUUUUGUGUAGACUGUGUUUUGCUACUGGCCACAGAAGAAUGUUACGGCCAAAGUCAAAAGGAGAGAGAUACCAGAUAAAACACAUUGGGUCAAAUGUAAAGUCUCUGUUUUAACAUACACAGACACCUACAACAAGGCCAGAGAAAAGGUCAACCAAGCAACAGUAACCUCUAAUUUGGAGAGUGACCAGGAAGAACAAACAGGCAGGAAGAUUGUCACUCCUGCUCGGUACCUUGACUCAGAUACAGAUAUGGAUGAGCCCUUAGCCAAAAGAAUUAAGCAAAAAACUGCCACAUCUGCCACAAUGGAUCAGACUCCACAGAUGCCAUCAAUGCCUUCAUUCACUCCAUCAGUGGAUUUAUUUUCAGACAGACACCACCAGGACAGUCCAAGAUAGUCUCCAUUUUAGCAUAAUAUUGUUUUCACUCCUGUCCGGCUGUACAUCCAUGUAAUUUCCCACAAGUUUGGGCUGAAAAUCAUUAAAAGUAAUUUGGACUUGUGUUGUAUAGUGUAAGACAUGUAGAAAAGAUUGUAGCUGAUCCAUGUACCGAUAAGG